rnacentral:lncRNA from 1 species
AAACUGAUCUCCUUAAGGUUGGACUGCCAAAGAUCAGUUCUCUGGGGGGCCAAACUUCUUUGUACAGUGCCUGAAAAACACAGAUGUUGUGCAGUGCAUGAAUAUUCAACAGGCAUUUGGGUUUCCUCUAGGCACAGAGUGACCAGCGGAGGAGGGCAGAAUGAGGAACAGGGCUGCACUGACCCCCACAGUCCUACUGCAAGAUAUAACCUAUCCCUGAAGCAAAAUCGCCAAAACAUGGGUGAAGAACACACUGAAAUCUUAUUUAUAUGUAGGACAGGUGCAGGCUUUCCUGAGGAAUCGCAGGGAGGAAGAGCUAUGGGGACACCUUGCAGGCAAGAUGUGAAAAUGACUUCAGCAGAGCCUCUACUACUUCAGGACACAACUGGGCUGGGCAUGCUUCCAGUGAGCUUCAUCACAGGUGCUUUAUUAGCUCAACUUCUCAUAUAG